rnacentral:rRNA from 1 species
GUCGAGAAUCUUUCACAAUGGGGGCAACCCUGAUGGAGCGACGCCGCGUGGAGGAUAAGGUCUUCGGAUUGUAAACUCCUGUCAUGCGUGAACAAGGUUGCUUGGUUAAUACCUGGGCAAAUUGAUGGUAACGCAAGAGGAAGAGACGGCUAACUCUGUGCCAGCAGCCGCGGUAAUACAGAGGUCUCAAGCGUUGUUCGGAAUCACUGGGCGUAAAGGGUGCGUAGGUGGCGUGGUAAGUCAGAUGUGAAAGCCCGGGGCUCAACCUCGGAACUGCAUCCGAUACUGCCAUGCUAGAGUGCUGGAGAGGUGACUAGAAUUCUCGGUGUAGCAGUGAAAUGCGUAGAUAUCGAGAGGAAGACCAAAGGCGUAGGCAGGUCACUGGACAGUUACUGACACUGAGGCACGAAGGCCAGGGGAGCGAACGGGAUUAGAAACCCGUGUAGUCC